rnacentral:lncRNA from 1 species
UGGGCUCUGUUAAUUGGGCUGUACAGCUGCCCCUCUUUGCUCGUUGUCGUGUAACGAUAACAGAGCAAAGACUAAGAAAGACCAAUUUUUGCCCAGUCUUGCCGAGGAAAUAAGAUUCGCCUUUCUUCUUCAAGUAGCUUCAUUUCAGUCCACUUUGUCUUGUUGCGUCGAUCCUCUCCACUGCAACUUCAAGAAGAGAUAUGACUUGUGGCUUCAAUCCAUUCUGUUGUAACUUCAGGGGGUAAG